UACGGAGGGUGCAAGCGUUAAUCGGAAUUACUGGGCGUAAAGCGCGCGUAGGUGGUUUGAUAAGCGAGAUGUGAAAGCCCCGGGCUUAACCUGGGAACGGCAUUUCGAACUGUCAGGCUAGAGUAUGGUAGAGGGUAGUGGAAUUUCCUGUGUAGCGGUGAAAUGCGUAGAUAUAGGAAGGAACACCAGUGGCGAAGGCGGCUACCUGGACCAAUACUGACACUGAGGUGCGGAAAAGCGGGGGGGAGCAACAGGAUUAG
rnacentral:rRNA from 1 species